GCAGGUGACAUUACCACAGUGUAAGCCUGAUCCCACCAGAUUUAAGAUGUUAAGCAAGGCUGGGCUUGAUCAGUAGUGGGUUGGGAGACCUCCAGGGAAAACCAGGUUGCUACUGUAA
rnacentral:rRNA from 1 species